UUGAUUUUAGUUAUUUGUGAACGUACUACGAACAACCAAAAAAAUAUUAUAGUCAAAAAAAAAUUAAAUCA
rnacentral:misc_RNA from 1 species